rnacentral:rRNA from 1 species
GGAGGAAAAGAAACCAACAGGGAUUACCUCAGUAACGGCGAGUGAAGCGGUAACAGCUCAAAUUUGAAAUCUGGCUCUUUCAGGGUCCGAGUUGUAAUUUGUAGAAGAUGCUUUGGGUAUAGCUCUAGUCUAAGUUCCUUGGAACAGGACGUCAUAGAGGGUGAGAAUCCCGUAUGUGAUUAGGCGCUUUUGCCCGUGUAAAGCUCUUUCGACGAGUCGAGUUGUUUGGGAAUGCAGCUCAAAAUGGGUGGUAAAUUUCAUCUAAAGCUAAAUAUUGGCCAGAGACCGAUAGCGCACAAGUAGAGUGAUCGAAAGAUGAAAAGCACUUUGGAAAGAGAGUUAAACAGUACGUGAAAUUGUUGAAAGGGAAGCGCUUGCAACCAGACUCGCAUUCCGUCGAUCAUCUGGGGUUCUCCCCAGUGCACUCGGCGGUAUUCGGGCCAGCAUCGGUUUGGGUGGUGGGAUAAAGGCCUUGGGAAUGUAGCUUCUUUCGGGAAGUGUUAUAGCCCUCGGUGCAAUGCUGCCUACCCGGACCGAGGACCGCGCUUCGGCUAGGAUGCUGGCGUAAUGGUUGUAAG